rnacentral:rRNA from 1 species
UUUAAUUCUCAUAUUAGUAGCAUUUUAUAUUAACAUAUAAAUUAUACUGAUAUAAAUUUUAGUUGGGGCAACUGAGGAGUAACAAAAUAAUCUCCUUAUUAUACACCAAAAUGAUAAUUAGAUGAUCCUUUUAUAAAGAUUAAUAAAUAUAAUUAC